rnacentral:rRNA from 1 species
CUGUAAGCCGUUGAAGGUGACCUGUGAGGGUUGCUGGAGGUAUCAGAAGUGCGAAUGCUGACAUAAGUAACGAUAAUGCGGGUGAAAAACCCGCACGCCGGAAGACCAAGGGUUCCUGUCCAACGUUAAUCGGGGCAGGGUGAGUCGACCCCUAAGGCGAGGCUGAAAAGCGUAGUCGAUGGGAAACAGGUUAAUAUUCCUGUACUUGGUGUUACUGCGAAGGGGGGACGGAGAAGGCUAGGCUAGCCGGGCGACGGUUGUCCCGGUUUAAGCAUGUAGGCGGAGUGACUUGGUAAAUCCGGUUGCUUAUCAACGCUGAGGUGUGAUGACGAGCCACUACGGUGGUGAAGUAGUUGAUGCCAAGCUUCCAGGAAAAGCCUCUAAGCAUCAGGUAACAUUAAAUCGUACCCCAAACCGACACAGGUGGUCAGGUAGAGAAUACUCAGGCGCUUGAGAGAACUCGGGUGAAGGAACUAGGCAAAAUGGUGCCGUAACUUCGGGAGAAGGCACGCUGGCAUUAGGUAAAGGGACUUGCUCCCGGCGCCGAAGCCAGUCGCAGAUACCAGCUGGCUGCAACUGUUUAAUAAAAACACAGCACUGUGCAAACACGAAAGUGGACGUAUACGGUGUGACGCCUGCCCGGUGCUGGAAGGUUAAUUGAUGGGGUCAGCCGCAAGGCGAAGCUCUUGAUCGAAGCCCCAGUAAACGGCGGCCGUAACUAUAACGGUCCUAAGGUAGCGAAAUUCCUUGUCGGGUAAGUUCCGACCUGCACGAAUGGCGUAAUGAUGGCCAGGCUGUCUCCACCCGAGACUCAGUGAAAUUGAACUCGCUGUGAAGAUGCAGUGUACCCGCGGCAAGACGGAAAGACCCCGUGAACCUUUACUAUAGCUUGACACUGAACAUUGAGCCUUGAUGUGUAGGAUAGGUGGGAGGCAUUGAAGUGUGGACGCCAGUCUGCAUGGAGCCAACCUUGAAAUACCACCCUUUAAUGUUUGAUGUUCUAACUCGGCCCCAUAAUCUGGGGUGAGGACAGUGUCUGGUGGGUAGUUUGACUGGGGCGGUCUCCUCCCAAAGAGUAACGGAGGAGCACGAAGGUUAGCUAAUCACGGUCGGACAUCGUGAGGUUAGUGCAAAGGCAUAAGCUAGCUUGACUGCGAGAGUGACGGCUCGAGCAGGUACGAAAGUAGGUCUUAGUGAUCCGGUGGUUCUGAAUGGAAGGGCCAUCGCUCAACGGAUAAAAGGUACUCCGGGGAUAACAGGCUGAUACCGCCCAAGAGUUCAUAUCGACGGCGGUGUUUGGCACCUCGAUGUCGGCUCAUCACAUCCUGGGGCUGAAGUAGGUCCCAAGGGUAUGGCUGUUCGCCAUUUAAAGUGGUACGCGAGCUGGGUUUAGAACGUCGUGAGACAGUUCGGUCCCUAUCUGCCGUGGGCGUUGGAAGAUUGAGAGGGGCUGCUCCUAGUACGAGAGGACCGGAGUGGACGAAUCACUGGUGUUCGGGUUGUCAUGCCAAUGGCAUUGCCCGGUAGCUAAAUUCGGAAGAGAUAACCGCUGAAAGCAUCUAAGCGGGAAACUUGCCUCGAGAUGAGUCUUCCCUGGGGCUUUAAGCCCCCUGAAGGAACGUUAAAGACUAUGACGUUGAUAGGCUGGGUGUGUAAGUGCAGCGAUGCAUUGAGCUAACCAGUACUAAUGAUCCGU